CCUACGGGCGGCAGCAGUGAGGAAUAUUGGUCAAUGGGCGCAAGCCUGAAGCAGCGACGUAGCGUGAGGGAUGAAUGCCCUACGGGUGGUAAACUUCGUUAGUAGGGAAGUAAACGAGUGGAGCCAUACCCUCAUGUGUGUACGGUAUGACUAAGGAUCGUCUAGCUCCGGUCCAGGAGCGGAGGUAAGACGGAGGAUCCGAGCGUUAUCCGGAUUUAUAGGGUGUAAAGGGAGCGUAGGUUGAUUGGUAAGUUAGUUGUGAGAGUUCGCGGCUCAACCGUAAAAUGGCAGUUGAAACUGGCAGUCUUGAGUACAGUAGAGGUGGGCGGAAUUCGUGGUGUAGCGGUGAAAUGCUUAGAUAUCACGAAGAACUCCGAUUGCGAAGGCAGCUCACUGGACUGCAAUUGACACUGAUGCUCGAAAGUGUGGGUAUCAAACAGGAUUAGAUACCCCGGUAGUC
rnacentral:rRNA from 1 species